GACGGAGGAUGCAAGUGUUAUCCGGAAUCACUGGGCGUAAAGCGUCUGUAGGUGGUUCGAAAAGUCCACUGUUAAAAAUUGAGGCUUAACUUCAAAGAUGCCGUGGAAACUUUCAAACUAGAGUAUGGUAGGGGUAGAGGGAAUUUCCAGUGGAGCGGUGAAAUGCGUAGAUAUUGGAAAGACCACCGAUGGCGAAGGCACUCUACUGGGCCAUUACUGACACCGAGAGACGAAAGCUAGGGGAGCAAAUGGG
rnacentral:rRNA from 1 species